UACGUAGGGUGCAAGCGUUGUCCGGAAUUAUUGGGCGUAAAGAGCUCGUAGGCGGUGUGUCGCGUCGGCCGUGAAAAACCUGCAGCUUAACUGUGGGCUUGCGGUCGAUACGGGCAUCACUGGAGUUCGCAGGGGAGACUGAAUUCCGCGUGUAGCAGUGAAAUGCGUAGAUAUGCGGAGGAACACCGAUGGCGAAGCAAUCCCCUGGCCUGCACUGACUCAUGCACGAAAG
rnacentral:rRNA from 1 species